UGAGCCGCUGACAUUACAGUGACAUCAACACUUUGUAUGAACUCAGGAAACACUGGGCUGGCUCCUCUCUCACUGCAGGAGCGCACGCUGAACUGAACAGACAAACUCAACAAAGGAACUAACAAAAGUGAAGCAGGAAGUGGAUCUAAAUUGACCCGGUGGAAGCUCUGCCAUGAAUCAGUGUGAGGACGGAGAGGAGGGAGCUCCUCCCUCUAAAAGCACUCUGUGUGGGGAACAUGAAGCUCAGAGGCCAAAGCAGCAACAUGUACCAGACUCUCCUGGGCCAGGACCUGGACCUGGACCCAGCUGUGUGUCCUUAAGGAGUGAUCGGUCUAAGGGUGGAUGGAUUGACUUCAAAGAUGG